rnacentral:lncRNA from 1 species
AAGAGCCUAGCAGAUGGAACGCUGAAAAAGAGAAUGACGAGAUUCCUACAAGGACUCAAGGCCUGAUUCUUAAGAAGAAAGCUUGGCCAGAUUAUCACCUCAACCUCAAAGUUAGAAACUAAAAAAACUUAUUAUUUUCAUGUAUAAGAAGAGAGAGAGUGAUAUAUCCAGAUUUCAGCAUAAUACAAAGCUUUUAGCAACCAUAUUAAAACAACAAAUAUAUCAUGAUAAAGAAGAGAUUCUACAAAUCAUACCUGUAAUUGUCACUGUUGUUUUAUGUCUUUUCCAGCCUAAAAAGACCACUGAAUCCAUCCCUUUUGUGAGACUGAAGACUUGGAAAAACAGGUAACUUUAGGACAACCGGCCUUUUCUAUGAUUUGCGUCUCUUAUGAAGACUGUGAGCCAUCUUCCAAAGCUAUUCUCAACUUCCAUUCACUCCUGUAUUCUCUCUCUUCUUUUUCUUUAUUCUAGUUUGUUCCUUUCUCUUUUUUUUCUUUUCCUUUUAAGCACUAUAUAUAGAGACUUGGAAACAUUCCAGGCUCUCCCUUCUUGAGCAAAUCACAAUCACUGAAACCCCCCAAGAUGAUCUCCACCUUCAACCAAAUCCAGCUGAGCUUGUACUAGGCUAAGACCGUGAAAGAGGCUUGCUGGGUAGAGGUUUUAGCAUGAUUUGGCAGCGAUUUAGGGGCUGCAAAAACACAGGUUUUUGGCUUGGAGUCACAGGUGGUAUGGCAUGGGGAAGGUGGAGUGUGUUGUUUGUCUUGAUGGGAGGCAAAACAAAGAGGAGAGAGAGGGCUAAAUUUUCUCCCUCGGG